AACGGCAGCGAGGAGAAGCUUGCUUCUCUGUCGGCGAGUGGCGAACGGGUGAGUAUAGCAUCGGAACGUGCCAAGUAGUGGGGGAUAACCAAACGAAAGUUUGGCUAAUACCGCGUAAGCUCCAAGGAGGAAAGUAGGGGACCUAAAUAAGGCCUUACGCUAUUUGAUCGGCCGAUGUCGGAUUAGCUAGUUGGUGGGGUAAUGGCUCACCAAGGCAAUGAUCCGUAGCGGGUCUGAGAGGACGAUCCGCCACACUGGGACUGAGACACGGCCCAGACUCCUACGGGAGGCAGCAGUGGGGAAUUUUGGACAAUGGGGGAAACCCUGAUCCAGCCAUGCCGCGUGUAUGAAGAAGGCCUUAGGGUUGUAAAGUACUUUUGUUAGGGAAGAAAAGCUAGUUUUUAAUAAAAAUUAGUGAUGACGGUACCUAAAGAAUAAGCACCGGCUAACUACGUGCCAGCAGCCGCGGUAAUACGUAGGGUGCAAGCGUUAAUCGGAAUUAUUGGGCGUAAAGCGAGUGCAGACGGUUACUUAAGCCAGAUGUGAAAUCCCCAAGCUUAACUUGGGACGUGCAUUUGGAACUGGGUGACUAGAGUGUGUCAGAGGGAGGUAGAAUUCCACAUGUAGCGGUGGAAUGCGUAGAGAUGUGGAGGAAUACCGAUGGCGAAGGCAGCCUCCUGGGAUAACACUGACGUUGAGGCUCGAAAGCGUGGGGAGCAAA
rnacentral:rRNA from 1 species